UACGAAGGGGGCUAGCGUUGCUCGGAAUUACUGGGCGUAAAGCGCGCGCAGGCGGUCUUCCAAGUCAGUGGUGAAAGCCCGGAGCUCAACUCCGGAACUGCCAUUGAAACUGUAAGACUUGAGGACGAGAGAGGUGAGUGGAAUUCCCAGUGUAGAGGUGAAAUUCGUAGAUAUUGGGAAGAACACCAGUGGCGAAGGCGGCUCACUGGCUCGUAUCUGACGCUCAGGCGCGACAGCGUGGGGAUCAAACAGG
rnacentral:rRNA from 1 species